AUGCAAGUCGAGCGGGGGAAGGUAGCUUGCUACCGGACCUAGCGGCGGACGGGUGAGUAAUGCUUAGGAAUCUGCCUAUUAGUGGGGGACAACAUCUCGAAAGGGAUGCUAAUACCGCAUACGUCCUACGGGAGAAAGCAGGGGAUCUUCGGACCUUGCGCUAAUAGAUGAGCCUAAGUCGGAUUAGCUAGUUGGUGGGGUAAAGGCCUACCAAGGCGACGAUCUGUAGCGGGUCUGAGAGGAUGAUCCGCCACACUGGGACUGAGACACGGCCCAGACUCCUACGGGAGGCAGCAGUGGGGAAUAUUGGACAAUGGGGGGAACCCUGAUCCAGCCAUGCCGCGUGUGUGAAGAAGGCCUUAUGGUUGUAAAGCACUUUAAGCGAGGAGGAGGCUACUUUAGUUAAUACCUAGAGAUAGUGGACGUUACUCGCAGAAUAAGCACCGGCUAACUCUGUGCCAGCAGCCGCGGUAAUACA
rnacentral:rRNA from 1 species